GUUGUGGCUCAGUGGUAGAACGCUCGCCUGGUACACGUGAGGCACUGGGUUCAAUCCUCAGCAUUACA
rnacentral:tRNA from 1 species